AUGCCGAGGCAGGAGGUCCGUUCGGGCGUCUGUCGCAUCGAAAACGACAAAAAACGCAAUGCUGCGUUCACCAAGCGGCAUGCUCAUUUGUUCAAAAGUGCUAGUAACCUCUCCGCCCUCACAGGCGUGAGGGUUGCUGUCAUCCUAGAGAAGGAAUCGGGAAAGAUGCAUGGCUUUGGGACGCCGUUAGUGCAACCCAUUGUUGAUUCUUUCCUGUCAGGAGAUCCACUUGUCGAGCCUCUUGUCGAUGAACAAGUGAAAGAUAGGAUUGCAUUGUUGCAGAGCGAGGUGGCUAGGUUGCACAUGGAGAAUGAAAUGCUAAAAACGAGAGCAAACCUCUCACUCCAACACAUCAAGAAGAUCCAAUCUCAGAAUUCAGGGAUGCCAGCAAAUAAUAUCUUCUCCAAGGUAGAAGAUCUUAGUCUUGAAGACCUAACCAACCUCUUCAAUAACCUAUUGCGAGUCAAGGAGGAAAUUAGACGACGUUUGCCUCCACUACAACAUGGACAUGAACCAAAGGUUGGUGGUCCAAACAUGCGGCAAAACUGGUUGCUACCAAGCGGUCCUUCACAAGAUCACCCGAAGAUUCAUGAGACUUCACAGCAACCAUUGUCAUCCCACCAUCUUCCACCUCAGGUGAUGCCUUUGGUUCUAGUACCAGCAACACCACAACACCCAAUUUACUUCCGUACUACAGUCAGUUGUUGA
rnacentral:rRNA from 1 species